UACGAAGGGUCCUAGCGUUGUUCGGAAUUACUGGGCGUAAAGGGCGCGUAGGCGGCCUAUUAAGUCAGGUGUGAAAGCCCCGAGCUUAACUUGGGAACUGCACUUGAUACUGGUAGGCUAGAGAUCGGAAGAGGUGAGUGGAAUUCCUAGUGUAGAGGUGAAAUUCGUAGAUAUUAGGAAGAACACCAGUGGCGAAGGCGGCUCACUGGUCCGAUACUGACGCUAAGGCGCGAAAGCGUGGGGAGCAAACAGGAUUAGAUACCCUGGUAGUCCACGCCCUAAACGAUGAGUGCUAGAUGUUGGGGGGUAACCCUCGGUGUCGUAGCUAACGCGUUAAGCACUCCGCCUGAGGAGUACGGUCGCAAGAUUA
rnacentral:rRNA from 1 species